rnacentral:rRNA from 1 species
GACGAACGCUGGCGGCGUGCUUAACACAUGCAAGUCGAACGGAAAGGUCCUGCUUUUGUGGGGUGCUCGAGUGGCGAACGGGUGAGUAACACGUGAGUAACCUGCCCCUGACUUUGGGAUAACUUCAGGAAACUGGGGCUAAUACCGGGUAGGAGCUCCUGCUGCAUGGUGGGGGUUGGAAAGUUUCGGCGGUUGGGGAUGGACUCGCGGCUUAUCAGCUUGUUGGUGGGGUAGUGGCUUACCAAGGCCUUGACGGGUAGCCGGCCUGAGAGGGUGACCGGCCACAUUGGGACUGAGAUACGGACCAGACUCCUACGGGAGGCAGCAGUGGGGAAUAUUGCACAAUGGGCGGACGCCUGAUGCAGCAACGCCGCGUGCGGGAUGACGGCCUUCGGGUUGUAAACCGCUUUCGCCUGUGACGAAGCGUGAGUGACGGUAAUGGGUAAAGAAGCACCGGCUAACUACGUG